UACGUAGGGUGCGAGCGUUAAUCGGAAUUACUGGGCGUAAAGCGCACGUAGGCGGAUUUGUAAGUCAGGGGUGAAAUCCCGGGGCUCAACCUCGGAACUGCCUUUGAUACUGCAAAUCUCGAGUCCGGAAGAGGUGAGUGGAAUUCCUAGUGUAGAGGUGAAAUGCGUAGAUAUCGGGAGGAACAUCGAUGGCGAAAGCAACCGUCUGGGCCUGAACUGACACUGAGACACGAAAGCGUGGGGAGCAAACAGG
rnacentral:rRNA from 1 species